CGGUUAAGUUAGAAAGGGCGCACGGUGGAUGCCUUGGCACUAGGAGCCGAUGAAGGACGGGACGAACACCGAUAUGCUUCGGGGAGCUGUAAGCAAGCUUUGAUCCGGAGAUUUCCGAAUGGGGAAACCCACCACUCGUAAUGGAGUGGUAUCCAUAUCUGAAUUCAUAGGAUAUGAGAAGGCAGACCCGGGGAACUGAAACAUCUAAGUACCCGGAGGAAGAGAAAGCAAAUGCGAUUCCCUGAGUAGCGGCGAGCGAAACGGGAUUAGCCCAAACCAAGAGGCUUGCCUCUUGGGGUUGUAGGACACUCUGUACGGAGUUACAAAGGAACGAGGUAGAUGAAGAGGUCUGGAAAGGCCCGCCAUAGGAGGUAACAGCCCUGUAGUCAAAACUUCGUUCUCUCCUGAGUGGAUCCUGAGUACGGCGGAACACGUGAAAUUCCGUCGGAAUCCGGGAGGACCAUCUCCCAAGGCUAAAUACUCCCUAGUGACCGAUAGUGAACCAGUACCGUGAGGGAAAGGUGAAAAGCACCCCGGAAGGGGAGUGAAAGAGAUCCUGAAACCGUGUGCCUACAAGUAGUCAGAGCCCGUUAACGGGUGAUGGCGUGCCUUUUGUAGAAUGAACCGGCGAGUUACGAUCCCGUGCAAGGUUAAGCAGAAGAUGCGGAGCCGCAGCGAAAGCGAGUCUGAAUAGGGCGCAUGAGUACGUGGUCGUAGACCCGAAACCAGGUGAUCUACCCAUGUCCAGGGUGAAGUUCAGGUAACACUGAAUGGAGGCCCGAACCCACGCACGUUGAAAAGUGCGGGGAUGAGGUGUGGGUAGGGGUGAAAUGCCAAUCGAACCUGGAGAUAGCUGGUUCUCUCCGAAAUAGCUUUAGGGCUAGCCUCAAGGUAAGAGUCUUGGAGGUAGAGCACUGAUUGGACUAGGGGCCCNCUAGCCUCAAGGUAAGAGUCUUGGAGGUAGAGCCCUGAUUGGACUAGGGGCCCCUACCGGGUUACCGAAUUCAGUCAAACUCCGAAUGCCAAUGACUUAUCCUUGGGAGUCAGACUGCGAGUGAUAAGAUCCGUAGUCGAAAGGGAAACAGCCCAGACCGCCAGCUAAGGUCCCAAAGUAUACGUUAAGUGGAAAAGGAUGUGGAGUUGCUUAGACAACCAGGAUGUUGGCUUAGAAGCAGCCACCAUUUAAAGAGUGCGUAAUAGCUCACUGGUCGAGUGACUCUGCGCCGAAAAUGUACCGGGGCUAAACGUAUCACCGAAGCUGCGGACUGUUCUUCGAACAGUGGUAGGAGAGCGUUCUAAGGGCUGUGAAGCCAGACCGGAAGGACUGGUGGAGCGCUUAGAAGUGAGAAUGCCGGUAUGAGUAGCGAAAGAGGGGUGAGAAUCCCCUCCACCGAAUGCCUAAGGUUUCCUGAGGAAGGCUCGUCCGCUCAGGGUUAGUCGGGACCUAAGCCGAGGCCGAAAGGGGUAGGCGAUGGACAACAGGUUGAUAUUCCUGUACCACCUCCUCACCAUGUGAGCAAUGGGGGGACGCAGGAGGAUAGGGUAAGCGCGGUAUUGGAUAUCCGCGUCCAAGCAGUUAGGCUGGGAAAUAGGCAAAUCCGUUUCCCAUAAGGCUGAGCUGUGAUGGCGAGCGAAAUAUAGUAGCGAAGUUCCUGAUUCCACACUGCCAAGAAAAGCCUCUAGCGAGGUGAGAGGUGCCCGUACCGCAACCCGACACAGGUAGGCGAGGAGAGAAUCCUAAGGUGAUCGAGAGAACUCUCGUUAAGGAACUCGGCAAAAUGACCCCGUAACUUCGGGAGAAGGGGUGCUCUGUUAGGGUGCAAGCCCGAGAGAGCCGCAGUGAAUAGGCCCAGGCGACUGUUUAGCAAAAACACAGGUCUCUGCGAAGCCGUAAGGCGAAGUAUAGGGGCUGACGCCUGCCCGGUGCUGGAAGGUUAAGAGGAGCGCUUAGCGUAAGCGAAGGUGCGAAUUGAAGCCCCAGUAAACGGCGGCCGUAACUAUAACGGUCCUAAGGUAGCGAAAUUCCUUGUCGGGUAAGUUCCGACCCGCACGAAAGGCGCAACGAUGUGGGCACUGUCUCAACGAGAGACUCGGUGAAAUUAUAGUACCUGUGAAGAUGCAGGUUACCCGCGACAGGACGGAAAGACCCCGUGGAGCUUUACUGCAGCCUGAUAUUGAAUGUUGGUACAGCUUGUACAGGAUAGGUAGGAGCCUUGGAAACCGGAGCGCCAGCUUCGGUGGAGGCAUCGGUGGGAUACUACCCUGGCUGUAUUGACCUUCUAACCCGCCGCCCUGAUCGGGCGGGGAGACAGUGUCAGGUGGGCAGUUUGACUGGGGCGGUCGCCUCCUAAAAGGUAACGGAGGCGCCCAAAGGUUCCCUCAGAAUGGUUGGAAAUCAUUCGCAGAGUGUAAAGGCACAAGGGAGCUUGACUGCGAGACCUACAAGUCGAGCAGGGACGAAAGUCGGGCUUAGUGAUCCGGUGGUUCCGCAUGGAAGGGCCAUCGCUCAACGGAUAAAAGCUACCCCGGGGAUAACAGGCUUAUCUCCCCCAAGAGUCCACAUCGACGGGGAGGUUUGGCACCUCGAUGUCUGCUCAUCGCAUCCUGGGGCUGUAGUCGGUCCCAAGGGUUGGGCUCUUCGCCCAUUAAAGCGGUACGCGAGCUGGGUUCAGAACGUCGUGAGACAGUUCGGUCCCUAUCCGUCGCGGGCGCAGGAAAUUUGAGAGGAGCUGUCCUUAGUACGAGAGGACCGGGAUGGACGCACCGCUGGUGUACCAGUUGUUCUGCCAAGGGCAUCGCUGGGUAGCUAUGUGCGGACGGGAUAAGUGCUGAAAGCAUCUAAGCAUGAAGCCCCCCUCAAGAUGAGAUUUCCCAUUCCGCAAGGAAGUAAGAUCCCUGAAAGAUGAUCAGGUUGAUAGGUCUGAGGUGGAAGUGUGGCGACACAUUGAGCUGACAGAUACUAAUCGAUCGAGGACUUAACCAUAUUU
rnacentral:rRNA from 1 species